GACGAACGCUGGCGGCGUGCUUAACACAUGCAAGUCGAACGGAAAGGCCCUGCUUUUGUGGGGUGCUCGAGUGGCGAACGGGUGAGUAACACGUGAGUAACCUGCCCUUGACUUUGGGAUAACUUCAGGAAACUGGGGCUAAUACCGGAUAGGAGCUCCUGCUGCAUGGUGGGGGUUGGAAAGUUUCGGCGGUUGGGGAUGGACUCGCGGCUUAGCAGCUUGUUGGUGGGGUAGUGGCUUACCAAGGCUUUGACGGGUAGCCGGCCUGAGAGGGUGACCGGCCACAUUGGGACUGAGAUACGGCCCAGACGCCUACGGGAGGCAGCAGUGGGGAAUAUUGCACAAUGGGCGGAAGCCUGAUGCAGCAACGCCGCGUGCGGGAUGACGGCCUUCGGGUUGUAAACCGCUUUCGCCUGUGACGAAGCGUGAGUGACGGUAAUGGGUAAAGAAGCACCGGCUAACUACGU
rnacentral:rRNA from 1 species